rnacentral:rRNA from 1 species
AACGAACGCUGGCGGCAGGCCUAACACAUGCAAGUCGAGCGAGGACUUCGGUUCUAGCGGCGGACGGGUGAGUAACGCGUGGGAAUGUGCCCUUCUCUACGGAAUAGCCCUGGGAAACUGGGAGUAAUACCGUAUACGCCCUUUUGGGGAAAGAUUUAUCGGAGAAGGAUCAGCCCGCGUUGGAUUAGGUAGUUGGUGGGGUAAUGGCCUACCAAGCCGACGAUCCAUAGCUGGUUUGAGAGGAUGAUCAGCCACACUGGGACUGAGACACGGCCCAGACUCCUACGGGAGGCAGCAGUGGGGAAUCUUAGACAAUGGGGGCAACCCUGAUCUAGCCAUGCCGCGUGAGUGAUGAAGGCCUUAGGGUUGUAAAGCUCUUUCAGCUGAGAAGAUAAUGACGGUACCAGCAGAAGAAGCCCCGGCUAACUCCGUG